rnacentral:rRNA from 1 species
CUAUCUUAGCAGUCUUAUCAGCAAGCGCAUUUCAGUUUGAACCCCCGAAACUAAGUGAGCUACUUCGAGGCAGUUUUAAGAACAACCCCAUCUCUGUUGCAAAAGAGUGGGAUGACCUCCAAGUAGGGGCGACAAACCUACCGCACUUAGAGAUAGCUGGUUACUCAAGAAAAGAAUUUAAGUUCAACCUAAAGUUUUCUAAUUACACAAAAAUACAAUAAAACUUUAGAGCUACUCAAAUAAGGCACAGCUUAUUUGAAAUAGGACCCAACCUACAACAUCGGGUAAUAUAAACAAGCAAGUAACAAGUGGGCCUAAGAGCAGCCACCCACAAAAAGCGUUAAGGCUUAAAAUUUAAACUGUAUUAAUACCACCCCCUACCCUAGAACCCCUCACCAAUAUUGAGUAAUUCCAUAAGCAUAUGGAAGCUAUUAUGCUAGAAUGAGUAACAAGAAAUAGCUUUUCUCCUAAAUGUAAGCUUAAGCCAUAAAAGACCAACUACCGGCAAUUAACGCAUAUGAAGACGCUACAGCAACCCAAACAAGAAAACCCUGUAUCAACUCACGUUAACCUUACACCAGAACAUUUAAGGAAAGAUUAAAAGAAAAAGAAGGAACUCGGCAAACCACCAACCCCGCCUGUU